rnacentral:rRNA from 1 species
UACGAAGGGGGCUAGCGUUGCUCGGAAUCACUGGGCGUAAAGCGCACGUAGGCGGCUUUUUAAGUCAGGGGUGAAAUCCUGGAGCUCAACUCCAGAACUGCCUUUGAUACUGGGAAGCUCGAGUCCGGGAGAGGUGAGUGGAACUCCGAGUGUAGAGGUGAAAUUCGUAGAUAUUCGCAAGAACACCAGUGGCGAAGGCGGCUCACUGGCCCGGUACUGACGCUGAGGUGCGAAAGCGUGGGGAGCAACAGG